rnacentral:rRNA from 2 species
AAACCAACAGGGAUUGCCUUAGUAGCGGCGAGUGAAGCGGCAAAAGCUCAAAUUUGAAAUCUGGCACCUUCGGUGUCCGAGUUGUAAUUUGAAGAUUGUAACCUUGGGGUUGGCUCUUGUCUAUGUUUCUUGGAACAGGACGUCACAGAGGGUGAGAAUCCCGUGCGAUGAGAUGCCCAAUCCUAUGUAAGGUGCUUUCGAAGAGUCGAGUUGUUUGGGAAUGCAGCUCUAAGUGGGUGGUAAAUUCCAUCUAAAGCUAAAUAUUGGCGAGAGACCGAUAGCGAACAAGUACAGUGAUGGAAAGAUGAAAAGAACUUUGAAAAGAGAGUGAAAAAGUACGUGAAAUUGUUGAAAGGGAAGGGUUUGAGAUCAGACUCGAUAUUUUGUGAGCCUUGCCUUCGUGGCGGGGUGACCCGCAGCUUAUCGGGCCAGCAUCGGUUUGGGCGGUAGGAUAAUGGCGUAGGAAUGUGACUUUGCUUCGGUGAAGUGUUAUAGCCUGCGUUGAUGCUGCCUGCCUAGACCGAGGACUGCGAUUUUAUCAAGGAUGCUGGCAUAAUGAUCCCAAACCGCCCGUCUU